GGAUAACAGGAGAGCAGCCCAAAAGUUCUUCACUUGAGGGAGUUUGCCCACACGCAGGAGAAUUGAAAGGCCUUUUCAUGGAGUGCAGUGACCUGCCCUGGAGGGCUCUCCCUGGCCUGUGGUUUCAUGCUCUGCAGUCUCAUCCAAGACAACUGCAUUUGGGAUUUCUCUUCCAGCCUAUUUCCUACCGAGUAAUUUGGACCUGAUCCUGCAUCCUUAAUCCUGAAGCUCCACCACAUGUGCUGGAGGGAUUCUAGGGACAAGGCUGUUCUUACAGGAGUGGAGGCACCAGAGCUGCAGGGGAGAGGCUGCCUGGAAAGUCAAAACAGGGCAGAAAGCAUCAGCUGUUCCAGGAAAUAACCUGUCUUUGCACAUUUCCUCAUGUUCAGGCUUCACUAUUAUGAAUGCAAGCACUGUGAUGAGAGAAGAGGAAAAUAAAACCAUCCUCCAUUUUGCUGAGUGCCAGCAGUGUGAACAAAAAUAUAAGGUGCUUCAGGGCAGGAAGAAACUGUGAAGAAAUAGGUUUUUGAAUUCCAUUUGUCUCGGAUUGUCUGAAAAUUGUCUCAAGAGCUGCCUUCUGGAGACAGCUGCCCUGCUCUGAGAGAGGGCAGAGACGUGUGUGGGGGUCUCAGACUGGGACAGGACUCAGGGUGCAGCUGCCUCUG
rnacentral:lncRNA from 1 species